UUCACAUUGAUCAUCGAUAAUUCAUGAUCAGAACAAUAAUAAUGAUAAUAAUGAAUUUUCCCUGUAUACAAAAUAAAACAAAACAAAACAAAAUUCAAGAGAAGGUAAAUAACAUUCAAAAAUAGGUAAAUCAAAAUAAUCAAUUAACAAAUAUUUAUCCUGAAUUAGUAUAAAAUACAAGAUAUUUUCUAUUUUAAACUUCUAUUAAAACACAUCGACAAGAUAAUUUUAACAAGAGGGUUGGCUAAAUAAGCAACAGCAAUAUUAAAAUACAUCAACAAAGAACUACCUCAAUUUGCAACACUAAAUCAACAAAUUUAGUAGAUUGAAAUUGAUAAACUAAAUUCAAUAUAAAAUUUUAACAUAACGGCAAGCCCAAGAUUCAUGAGUGUUCAAUUUGCGGUUCAUAAUUCACAUCUGGACAAGCACUUGGUGGUCACAUGAGGAGGCAUAGGACAACUGUCAUCACUAUUACUAGUCCUCAACCAACGCUGGAGGUUGUUAAGCUACCGCAGAAUCUUCUGGAUUUGGAUCUUAACCUUCCGGUACCAGCCAACGACGACCACCACCACCGGGAUUCCCAGUUUCAGUUCUCGGGCGCACAGAAAACCAUGAUGCUUUUUGCUGCACCACCUUUGGUGGAUUGUCAUUAUUAAUUAGGAGGCCAGGUUGGGAAUUAGUUGAACAAGCUAAGCUAAGGGGAAAAUUUUAUUAUUAUCAUUAUUAUUGUUUUGAUCAUGAAUUAUCGAUGAUCAAUGUGAACUAUUAGCUUUAUUUUAAUUUGAAUUACACUAUACUAUUACGAUUGUCAAUUUUAUUAUUAUUAUUAUUAUUAUUAUUAGUAAAAGAAAAGAAAGAAGAACAGAUAUGAAAGACAUAAACUUCAACAAUAUCAUGAGUUUCGAAAAAAGAUCUAAAAAGAUGCAAGCUUCAAUAACAAGAAAACAGUAGCGGUGACAACGCAAAACAAAGUAGAAGCGCGAUGAGACUAUGCAAAACAAGUGAUGGCAAGCUAAAACAAAAAAAGCGGCACAAAAAAGAUUGAACAGAAAAGCAAAAAAAAUGACUUUACACAAAAAUAGAGUAGAGCAGCGCGAGAAUAAAAAAAGAUUGAACGAGACUGAUGAUGUUGGCUGUACGUGUAAGAGCUAAACACGAAGGAAAUAAAAAUUAAGACUGGGAGAUGAUUGAGAGUAAGAUGCAAAAAAUCCUAAAUGAGAGGAUAUUUGUCUUUUUCUAUUAAUUUGAUCUUAAUUUGAUGAUAAAAAAUUUAAAAAAUAAAAAGUUUUAAAAAUUGUUGAUUAAAAAGAUUGUCUCUGAACUUUUCAUUGUGAAAAAAUUGAAAAUGAACAAGUAGUAUAUAUAAGUCAUAAAAUCAACAGUAAUAUGAGACAUAACAGGCAGCUGCAUGGUGUAUGUGUUUCCUUGAGAGUUGUUUAUGGCUGUAAAAGUUGAGUUAGUUCUCAUGACCAAAUAUCACUACAACAUUCUUACUAAUUGGUGGAGGUUUUAUAGUGGAAGUUUUUAAAAAUCUCCCCAACAUAAUCUAUUUGUAGCAAUUUAGAAACCCCCCAAAUAAAUUUACACAGCUUAAAACAACCACACACCCAAAGGCCCAUCCAAAUACUCAAAGUCCAUACCAAAGAUGCAAAAUAAGGCUAGCUUUGAAUGAGAAGAAGAGUGAACAAGACCAAUUGAUCGAAACCCUAAAUUGUAGUCUUCGUCAACGUCGCUACCGCCACCAUCGGCACCACCACCGCCACCGCCAUUCAUCUCCUUGCCACUAGCGCUAAUGCCACAACGUGCUUCGACAAUCUCUUUUUCUGUUUCUUCUUUCACCGCGUCUCUUGAGUUUGCGUCACGGAGGAGAAGUAAUAUGAAGCUACUCUUAGUAGAGGAAUUAUUUGACUAAUCUGACGGUAAAUCCGAUGGUACUCAACUUUUUUCUUGUAGUGAUACUUGGUUGGUACCAAGAAUCAAGUGAUCUUCUUUCAACCAUGCAAUGGCUUUUGAUUGUUUGCUUUUGCAAAUUCAGAUAGGGGUUCAGACACAGAUGAUAGAAGGUCAACUACAGGCUUUUAUGUCUAUUUAGGAUCCAAUAUGAUCUCAUGGGCAAGUAGAAAGCAACAUUUAGUAAGCAAAUCCAGUGCUGAAGCUGAAAUUCAAGAGCAUUGCAGUAGCAGAAAUAGAUGUUCAAUGGAUCCGUCACCUGUUUACAGAACUUCAAAUCAAAUGCACUCAUGUUCUAGUACUUUAUAUUGACAACAUUAGUACUGUGAUGCUCACUGCCAAUCUAGUUCUACACAACAAAACCAAGCACUUCAAUUUGAAUCUUCAUUCAGUUAGAGAAAGAGUCAAUUGAACACAACUUGUUAUAAUGCACAUUCCAUCAAUUGACUAAGUAGUAGACCUCCUUACCAAACCUCUCUUCCUUCACAGUUUUGAGAAAUUCAAAAUCAAACUCACGGUAUUGUCUAAGAAGAUCAUGAGUUUGAAGGGAGUAUUAAGUAUGAAAGAGUCGAAGUAACUUAGUGAGCAAGAAGAAGAAGAACUCUUCUUUUAAUAAUUCUGUAUUAUAACUACUUUCAGAUGUCAUUACUAGUUUAGGCUGAGUCAGAUAUAUUUAAUUAGCUCUUUCUAUAUAUAAAUAUGAAGACUGCUUUUAUUGUAGAGUAAUGUAGUUACACUUUUCAUAAUCAAUUCCAUUAUUUUCUUCAUCAA